rnacentral:ribozyme from 1 species
AAACACGCUGCACAAACAAAAGCACAAAGACAACAAAAGAACAAAAAAAAAAAAGAAAAAAAGAGAAGACAAGCGAUAGGGGCACACCGUUUUUUUGUUUAU